GACGUAGGGCGCGAGCGUUGUCCGGAUUUAUUGGGCGUAAAGAGCUCGUAGGCGGCUUGUUGCGUCGGCUGUGAAAACCCAUGGCUCAACCGUGGGCUUGCAGCCGAUACGGGCAGGCUAGAGUUCGGUAGGGGAGACUGGAAUUCCUGGUGUAGCGGUGAAAUGCGCAGAUAUCAGGAGGAACACCGAUGGCGAAGGCAGGUCUCUGGGCAUUAACUGACGCUGAGGAGCGAAAGCAUGGGGAGCGAACAGG
rnacentral:rRNA from 1 species